rnacentral:misc_RNA from 1 species
GAUGAAGAACGUAGCGAAAUGCGAUAAGUAAUGUGAAUUGCAGAAUUCAGUGAAUCAUCGAAUCUUUGAACGCACCUUGCGCUCCUUGGUAUUCCGAGGAGCAUGCCUGUUUGAGUGUCAUGAAAUUCUCAACCUUUUCAGCUUUCUUUGUUGAUCAGGCUUGGAUGUGGGAGUAUGCGGGCUUCUCAGAAGUCGGCUCUCCUGAAAUGCAUUAGCGGGACCUUUGUUGCCUGGCUUUGGUGUGAUAAUUAUCUGCGCCAUUGUAGUCAAGCAGCUUAAAAUGAGGUUUCAGCUUCUAACCGUCUCCCCUGAGACAACUUUUUGACAAUUUGACCUCAAAUCAGGUAGGACUACCCGCUGAACUUAAGCAUAUCAAUAAGCGGAGGA